rnacentral:tRNA from 2 species
GGUGUUGUGGCAGAGUGGUCUAAUGCGAUAGACUAGAAAUCUAUUCUCUUCGGAGGCGUCUGUUCGAAUCAGGCCAACAUCG